ACGCUGGCGGCAGGCCUAACACAUGCAAGUCGGACGGUAGCACAGAGGAGCUUGCUCCUCGGGUGACGAGUGGCGGACGGGUGAGUAAUGUCUGGGGAUCUGCCCGAUGGAGGGGGAUAACCACUGGAAACGGUGGCUAAUACCGUAUAACGUCGCGAGACCAAAGAGGGGGACCUUCGGGCCUCUCACUAUCGGAUGAACCCAGAUGGGAUUAGCUAGUAGGCGGGGUAACGGCCCACCUAGGCGACGAUCCCUAGCUGGUCUGAGAGGAUGACCAGCCACACUGGAACUGAGACACGGUCCAGACUCCUACGGGAGGCAGCAGUGGGGAAUAUUGCACAAUGGGCGCAAGCCUGAUGCAGCCAUGCCGCGUGUAUGAAGAAGGCCUUCUUUUUUGUAAAGUACUUUCAGCGGGGAGGAAGGCAGUGAGGUUAAUGGGGGGGGGGGGAAUGACCCCCCCCCCCCCAAGAAGCACCGGCUAACUCCGUGCCAGCAGCCGCGGUAAUACGGAAGGGUGCAAGCGUUAAUCGGAAUUACUGGGACG
rnacentral:rRNA from 1 species